rnacentral:rRNA from 1 species
CAGGGAGUAUAAAAGAUAGUAUUGAGGUGUCCAAAAUAAUAAUGUUGAACAAAAUUAAAUAAACUUCUCAAAUCCCCAACUUUUUUGCUUGAUCCGCGAAAAGCUGAAAGACCAAAGACCAAAGGCGUGAUGCGCUUUAGUCUUUAAGCUUUCUUCUUUAGUCUUGAAUAAAAUAUUCAGGUGCCUAUAUCGGUGGUGUCCACCUCUUCCCAUUCCGAACAGAGAAGUUAAGCCCACCAGAGCCGAUGGUACUGCGGUAACACGUGGGAGAGUAGGUCGGUGCCAAAU